rnacentral:tRNA from 1 species
GGGGAUGUAGCUCAGUGUGGUCAGGGUGGGUGCCUCGCAAGCACAAGGACCUGAGUUCGAUUCCCAGUACCCCCC